UACGUAGGGUGCAAGCGUUGUCCGGAAUUAUUGGGCGUAAAGAGCUCGUAGGCGGUUUGUCACGUCGGAUGUGAAAACCCGAGGCUUAACCUCGGGCCUGCAUUCGAUACGGGCUGACUAGAGUUCGGUAGGGGAGACUGGAAUUCCUGGUGUAGCGGUGAAAUGCGCAGAUAUCAGGAGGAACACCGGUGGCGAAGGCGGGUCUCUGGGCCGAUACUGACGCUGAGGCGCGAAAGCUAGGGGAGCAAACAGG
rnacentral:rRNA from 1 species